GACGAACGCUGGCGGCGUGCCUAAUACAUGCAAGUAGAACGCAGUUGCGAACGGGUGAGUAACGAGUAGGUAACUGCCUCAUAGAGGGGGAUAACUAUUGGAAACAAUAGAUAAUACCGCAUAAUGUGAGAUGGACCUGCGUUGUAUUAGCUAGUUGGUGGUGUAAAGGCUCACCAAGGCGACGAUACAUAGCCGAACUGAGAGGGUGAUCGGCCACACUGGGACUGAGACACGGCCCAGACUCCUCCGGCAGGCCGCAUGAGGGAAUCUUCGGCAAUGGACGGAAGUCUGACCGAGCAACGCCGCGUGAGUGAAGAAGGUUUUCGGCUCGUAAAGCUCUGUUGUUAGAGAAGCGGUCACUAACCAGAAAGGCACGGCUAACUACUGGCAAGCAGCCGCGGUAAUU
rnacentral:rRNA from 1 species